GCACCGGUACAGAGAUGUAUCUUUCCUUCGGGACAGAGGAGACAGGUGGUGCAUGGUUGUCGUCAGCUCGUGUCGUGAGAUGUUGGGUUAAGUCCCGCAACGAGCGCAACCCUUAUAUUUAGUUGCCAGCACUUCGGGUGGGCACUCUAGAUAGACUGCCGGUGACAAACCGGAGGAAGGUGGGGAUGACGUCAAAUCAUCAUGCCCCUUAUGACCUGGGCUACACACGUGCUACAAUGGCCGGUACAACGGGCUGCGAAAUCGCGAGAUGGAGCCAAUCCCAACAAAGCCGGUCUCAGUUCGGAUUGCAGGCUGCAACUCGCCUGCAUGAAGUCGGAAUUGCUAGUAAUCGCGGAUCAGCAUGCCGCGGUGAAUACGUUCCCGGGUCUUGUAC
rnacentral:rRNA from 1 species